rfam:Thermoanaerobacter tengcongensis MB4, complete genome.
CUCAAGUGCUAGGGGAGCCAGAAAUGGCUGAGAGGGGAUUCGUUCCCGACCCUUAGAACCUGACCAGGGUAAUGCCUGCGAAGGGAAGCACGUUUUAUUGAGU